UGCCUCAGUGUAUCAAGAACACCCGCUGAACUUAAGCAUAUCAAUAAGCGGAGGA
rnacentral:rRNA from 1 species